rnacentral:sRNA from 1 species
CUAAUUGCUCGCUAGAGUGUCCCGAGCUAUGCGGUGGAAACCAUAGCUGUCAACAGGAAACAGGCGAAUGCAAUUCAUGUGAUCAAGGCCGUUUCAUGUAUGACUGUUCAGAAGAAUGCAGUCCAACAUGUGAAGACAGGACAUGCAAUAUAUACUAUGGAGAAUGCACUUACGGUUGUCUCCCUGGACACUAUGGCUUACUCUGUGAUCAACCCUGUCUUGGAAACUGCAGUGAAUAUGAAAUCUGCAACAGAUCAUCAGGUGAAUGCUUGGAUUAUUGCCCAAAUGGGUUUUUCGGUAUCCAUU